rnacentral:rRNA from 1 species
UACGAAGGGGGCUAGCGUUGUUCGGAUUUACUGGGCGUAAAGGGCGCGUAGGCGGGCUGAUCAGUCAGGGGUGAAAUCCCAAGGCUCAACCUUGGAACUGCCUUUGAUACUGUCGGUCUUGAGUUCGAGAGAGGUAAGUGGAACUGCGAGUGUAGAGUUGAAAUUCGUAGAUAUUCGCAAGAACACCAGUGGCGAAGGCGGCUUACUGGCUCGAAACUGACGCUGAGGCGCGAAAGCGUGGGAGCAACAGGAUAGAUA